UGCUGCAGCUGGUCAGCUUAAGAGAAACGUUUAGAUCGGGCCCAACUUCGAUGUCGCCUAUUCAAGUACAUGUAAAGGCCCGAAAUGCUUUUCUGAGAUAACGCCUCGACUGAUUUUAAUCAAAUGUGUCGCAUUUUUGAGAGAAAGCUACAUUCUAGUGACUGUUGGAAGUGGAAUAGUCACAAGCAAACAGGUACAAGU
rnacentral:lncRNA from 1 species